rnacentral:lncRNA from 1 species
GAGACCUCUUUUGCAGUAAGCAGAGAAGACCCAGAUGACGGGUGGCCUCGAGGAGGCAGCCUCGCUGUGCGACCAGUGGUACUAGGAAGUGGCGAACCAUUCCCAUCUUGCCGGCGCUCAGGUUUGUAGGCGAAUUGGGCAAAAAAUGCACCAAAAGGUGAACAAUAAUUGGGGUCCUGAUCAAUGAAAUCGGGAUUAGCUAUGGGAGGGAAAAAGCCUUGGGGCAGUGUCUGCUGCUUCUUCAAAACCUUGGAAUUCUUGCUGCGGUUGAUCCUCUUGACACACUGUCUGCCCAUGACGCCACCAGCAGCAGCUUCUUCCCCUGCCCUUGAAUAGACAUCAUUGAGAAAUGGUGUUUCGCCAGAUUGCUCCUGCUCCACCUUCCGCCGCCUAUGUUUCUUCCUUACCGUCGCACCCUCUGUCAUCACCUUCUUUUCCAUCUGCGUGAUUUGUGCCACAGCAGCAGUGGGCACCGAUGGUAUAAUCAUUGCAGCCUCCCUAUCCUUCCUUUUCUUGUGCCUCUUUUCUACCUUCGGCACAGGGUCCUCAAUUAAUGGAGCUGCCGGCAGCGCCUCCUGAUUCUCCCUCUUGCGCUCCUUAUCCUGCAUCACUGUCGCUGCUGUCAUCGCCGAGGUUAGGGUUUCGGGAGCGACUGGGACUGAGGAAGCAGACAUGGAUUCCAGUAUUGCCAAAUGUCGGGGAGACUCCCUCGCUGCCAUCUCCCUUGUCAUCUUCUUCUCAGGCUUUUCUUUCCCUUCGAUCCUUGCCUCUUCUUGUGAAUCUGAGGUUGAUUCUGAGGCUGGGCAUGGUUGCUUGGUGUUCAAGGUUGUUGUCCGGGCAGCCUUGGAGACCUCUUUUGCAGUAAGCAGAGAAGACCCAGAUAACGGGUGGCCUCGAGGAGGCAGCCUCGCUGUGCGACCAGUGGUACUAGGAAGUGGCGAACCAUUCCCAUCUUGCCGGCGCUCAGGUUUGUAGGCGAAUUGGGCAAAAAAUGCACCAAAAGGAGAACAAUAAUUGGGGUCCUGAUCAAUGAAAUCGGGAUUGGCUAUGGGAGGGAAAAAGCCUUGGGGCAGUGUCUGCUGCUUCUUCAAAACCUUGGAAUUCUUGCUGCGGUCGAU